UACGUAGGGCGCGAGCGUUGUCCGGAAUCAUUGGGCGUAAAGAGCUCGUAGGCGGCCGGUUGCGUCUGCUGUGAAAUCCCGGGGCUUAACCCCGGGCGUGCAGUGGAUACGGGCUGGCUGGAGGCAGGCAGGGGAGAAUGGAAUUCCCGGUGUAGCGGUGAAAUGCGCAGAUAUCGGGAGGAACGCCGGUGGCGAAGGCGGGUCUCUGGGCCGAUACUGACGCUGAGGAGCGAAAGCGUGGGGAGCGAACAGG
rnacentral:rRNA from 1 species